CACGUAGGGGGCAAGCGUUGUCCGGAUUUAUUGGGCGUAAAGAGCUCGUAGGUGGUUCGGCAAGUCGGGUGUGAAAACUCUGGGCUCAACUCAGAGACGCCACCCGAUACUGCUGUGACUUGAGUCUGGUAGGGGAGUGUGGAAUUCCCAGUGUAGCGGUGAAAUGCGCAGAUAUUGGGAGGAACACCAGUGGCGAAGGCGGCGCUCUGGGCCAGUACUGACACUGAGGAGCGAAAGCGUGGGUAGCGAACAGG
rnacentral:rRNA from 1 species